GGAGAGCGUUCUAAGGGCGUUGAAGGCAGAUCGUGAGGACUGCUGGAGCGCUUAGAAGUGAGAAUGCCGGUAUGAGUAGCGAAAGACAGGUGAGAAUCCUGUCCACCGAAUGACUAAGGUUUCCUGGGGAAGGCUCGUCCGCCCAGGGUUAGUCGGGACCUAAGCCGAGGCCGACAGGCGUAGGCGAUGGAUAACAGGUUGAUAUUCCUGUACCCGUUGUUUUUGUUUGAGCAAUGGAGGGACGCAGGAGGCUAAGGAAUGCAGACGAUCGGAAAUGUCUGUCCAAGCAGUAAGUCUGAAGAGGAGUCAAAUGCUUCUUUUCUUAAGGACAAGCUGUGAUGGGGAGGGAAAUAAUAGUACCGAAGUUCCUGAUGUCACACUGCCGAGAAAAGCUUCUAGUGAGAAAACAGCGGCCCGUACUGCAAACCGACACAGGUAGUC
rnacentral:rRNA from 1 species